GAACGCUGGCGGUGUGCUUAACACAUGCAAGUCGAACGGGCAAGAGCUGUAGCAAUACAGAAUUCUGCUAGUGGCAAACGGGUGAGUAAUACAUGGGAAUCUACCUUGCAGUGCGAAAUAACAGUUGGAAGCAAUUGCUAAUGUCGCAUAUAGCCGAGAGGUGAAAGAUUUAUCGCUGCAAGACGAGCCCAUGCAGGAUUAGCUAGUUGGUGGGGUAACGGCCUACCAAGGCGACGAUACGUAGCCGACCUGAGAGGGUGAUCGGCCACACUGGAACUGAGACACGGUC
rnacentral:rRNA from 1 species